rnacentral:rRNA from 1 species
CCUACGGGAGGCAGCAGUGAGGAAUAUUGGUCAAUGGGCGCGAGCCUGAACCAGCCAAGUCGCGUGAGGGAAGACGGUCCUAUGGAUUGUAACCUCUUUUGUCGGGGAGCAAAAGACUCCACGUGUGGCGUUCCGAGAGUACCCGAAGAAAAAGCAUCGGCUAACUCCGUGCCAGCAGCCGCGGUAAUACGGAGGAUGCGGGCGUUAUCCGGAUUUAUUGGGUUUAAAGGGUGCGCAGGCGGAAGAUCAAGUCAGCGGUAAAUUUGAGAGGCUAAACCUCUUCGAGCAGUUGAAACUGGUUUUCUUGAGUGAGGUAGAGGUGUGCGGAAUGCGUGGUGUAGCGGUGAAAUGCAUAGAUAUCACGCAGAACUCCGAUUGCGAAGGCAGCAUACCGGCGAUCAACUGACGCUCAUGCACGAAAGUGUGGGUAUCGAACAGGAUUAGAUACCCCUGUAGUC